rnacentral:lncRNA from 1 species
UUUUCUGCACUCAAUAAGCUGGCUGUUGCAGACUGUGAAGAGAGAAAGAAAGGUAUAUAUGUAAAGAUGUUUCCCAAUGUUUUUUCUAAUGGAAUAUAUUUUGACUGUUGUGCUCUCUUUUUUCUCUUUUCUCUUUUGUAUCCUUUUCGCAAUUUUGAUUCUUACAUGCAUCGUAUGAUGUUAAAAGUAAUGCACAACCAAAUCAGAUAGUGGCAACAAAAUUUCCACAACAUAACACUCAACAAGACACAUUCAUUUUGCAUCUGGUCCAUGCUAAUAUAGGAUGACAAAACCGACUGUGUCCAUCACAACAGUCUCAUUAGACCGCUAUUUGAGUAGAAUGAGUUGUCUUUUUUUUUAAUUAAAAUUUUAAAAAAAUAUUAUUAAACUUUUUUAAAUAUUUAAUUAAGACUUUUAUAAAACUCAAAUAAUUUUGUGAUAUUUAAUUAAAAUAUUUAUGACUUAUUUAAAAUAAUAUUAUUUAUGUGUAUUCAAUUGAGACUUUUCAUAACUUUAAAAAAAUUAGUGGUAGUCAAAAUAUACCGAUUAUGAUAAAUUAAAUCAAUAUGACAAAUUAUUUUGUAAAUUCAUUUUUGAGAAUUUUUUUUAAUUAAAAAUGUAUAUACCAACAAUUUUACUCAUACUUUUUUAAACUUAAAACAAAAUUCUAUCAUCACGGUUCAUAUCAUAUUAUUAUUAUUAUUAUUAUUAUUUUUCUAUCAUUGUAAUUUAUAUUAUAUCAUUUUUUUUUAUUACUAUAUUUACUUAUACUGGUUGAUUUUUAUUAUUUACCUCCAACAUUUUUUAUUUGAUCUAAUAUUUUUUUAACAUAAUGUCUUUUUUUGAGAUCUAAGUUGUCUUUUUUAUUUUAUAUAUUUUUAAGUUGAUAUUAUGUUAUGUUAUUUUUAUAUUACUAAUAUUAUUAAAAUUUUAUAGGUAGAUAUUAAUUUUUUUAGUAUGCUUUUCCAUUAUUUUUUAUUAAAUUAUUAUCCCAAACAUUUUCACAAACACUUUUUAAUAAUUGCAAAACAAUAAUUAUUCUUUUAAAAAGAAAUCCCAAACAUAUAAUCUUAUUCAAUCUUAUACAUAAUAUAAUCAAGAGAAUACAAAUUAAUUAAUAUUUCUAAAUUUUAGUUUACAUUUUUUAACCAACACCAUCCUUUUAUAUAAAAUCGAAGCAUCACUUAUUUCUAGAUAUGGAAUAUUUGGUAGUUCUCUUUGGAGUGAAUUGUGUUUUAGGCCAACAACUUGAAUCUAUUAAAUAAUUGCCGUUAUUGUUCUUGUUGAAUUUGGUACUUGUUCUUACUGAACUUGUGUGUGCUCUAUUAGCGGUAAGCUAAAGACAAAGAUUUAAGGUGUAUGAUUUGUUUUGAGUGUGAAGAGUGAUACGUAUACACUAAAAAUGAGAUGAUAUGAUUGUUUGAAAUAUCUCUUAAAAUGUUAAGUGAUGAAAAGAAAAAAUAUAUAUUUCGAGAUUGCAGAAACCAAAAAUCCGCAGAAGUAGUUAGAAGGAUGUCAAAAGGUGUUCGAACUGCAUGCAAGAGGUUUAGCGGGUGUGGUCGAUGAUGGUGAGACACAACCGUUGGAAAUCAAAAAUCGACGACGGUGGUGGAAUCACAUGUGGAAGGCUAUGGUCUGCGGAGGGGUCGGUCGAGUGGUGGAGCUUUGGUUGGCAGCAGAGGUUCAUGUCGGUAUACAACGGUUCAAGUUUUUGGUUGGGUGUUUUGGGCUUCUCUGAUCGGUCAAUGGAUAUGUUCGUUAAUGAGUUAUGUUUUAGACUUCUUAUGCAUUCAUUAGGUUUCAAAAGUUAUAAAUAUGUAUCUCCCAUAGAGUAGAUCAUUUGAUGACACUAGGUAAACAAAUUAUUGUGUUUAUUGUCUUUAUUUUAUCUUAUUUUGUCAAUUACAUUGAUCUCUUAAUGCUUAGAGAUUUAUAUUUGUUGAAAGUCAUAUAUUCUGGUU